AUGGAGGGAGCGGAGCACGCAAUGGAGCCUGUAGCCGUCGUGGCGGUGCCGUUCCCGGCGCAGGGACACCUCAACCAGCUGCUGCACCUGUCGUUGCAGCUCGCGUCGCGCCGGGUGGACGUGCACUACGCCGCGCCCGAGCAGCACAUCCGACAGGCGCGCUCGCGCGUGCAUGGCUGGGGCGAGGAGGCGCUCCUGUGUCCUGUCCAUCCAGUUCCACGACCUCGCCAUCCCCAGCUACGUCUCCCCGCCCCCAGACCCCACCGCCGACUCGCCCUUCCCAUCCCACCUCAUGCCCAUGUUCAUGGCCUACAUCGCCGGCGCGCGCGCUCCGCUCGCGGCGCUCCGCUCGUACCCCAUGAACGCCUUCGCCGCCGAGGAGGCCGCGCGGCUGCCCAACGGUGAGGCGCUCGGGCUGCACUGCUUGGCCGUGUCAAUGCUCGUUGGCAGAAUAGACGCCAGUCACCGGCUACUGCGAGAGAACGGCCUCGUCUACAGCGCCAUCGAGCACUGUGCGACCAAGGAGUUUGUGGAGUACGCCAGACGGGCCAGACCGUCGACAGAGAUCUCGCCUGGCGCAAACACAUGCCGCGCGCUCGAGGGUGAUUUCAUCGACGUUGUCGCCGGGCACCUGGCUGCCGACGGCAAGAAGCUCUUCGCCAUCGGGCCGUUAAACCCGCUGCUCGACGCCAGCGCGUCAGAGCAGAGCAAGCAGCGGCACCAGUGCCUGAACUGGCUCGACGAGCAGCCUCCAGCGUCGGUGCUGUACGUGUCCUUCGGCACGACGUCGUCCCUGCGAGCAGAGCAAAUUGAAGAGCUCGCAGCAGCACCGCGCGGCAGCAACCAACGAUUCAUCUGGGUGCUGCGCGUCGCCGACCGUGGCAACAUAUUCGCGGAGGCCGGUGAGAGCCGCCACGAGAAGCUGCUCUCAGAGUUCACGAAGCACACGGAAGGGGCGGGGCUGGUGAUCACCGGAUGGGCGCCGCAGCUGGAGAUCCUAGCGCACACUGCCACGGUGGCGUUCAUGAGCCACUGCGGCUGGAACUCGACCAUGGAGAGCCUGAGCCACGGCAAGCCGAUUCUGGCCUGGCCCAUGCACUGCGACCAGCCGUGGGACGCGGAGCUUGUCUGCAACUUCCUCAAGGCCGGCAUCCUCGUGCGCCCCUGGGAGAAGCACAGUGAGGUGAUCACGGCGAAGGCCAUCCAGGAAGUCAUCGAGGAGGUCAUGCUCUCCGACAAAGGAAUGGCCGUGCGGCAACGGGCAAGUGCGCUCGGGAAGGCCAUCCGCGCCUCCGUGGCUGACGGCGGUUCGUCGCGCCAGGACCUAGAUCUUUUCACUGCUUACAUGACUAGGUGAUCGACAAAAUGCCAUCUGUAACGAUGGCUUUUCAUGCCGACACAGUUCAGCCAGUCUGAUUCUAGAUUACCAGUAAUCGUGCACGUGCCAAUGCAUGUAUUAAC